rnacentral:rRNA from 1 species
GAUGAACGCUGGCGGCGUGCUUAACACAUGCCAGUCGAGCGAGAAGUUUUGAAAAGAUUCUUCGGAUGAAAUUUAAAAUGGAAAGCGGCGGACGGGUGAGUAACGCGUAGGCAACCUGCCCCAUACAAAGGGAUAGCAUUUGGAAACGAAUAUUAAUACCUUAUGAAACUUGACUAGUGCAUGCUAGGUAGGUCAAAGAUUUAUCGGUAUGGGAUGGGCCUGCGUCUGAUUAGCUAGUUGGUGAGGUAACGGCUCACCAAGGCGACGAUCAGUAGCCGACCUGAGAGGGUGAACGGCCACAUUGGAACUGAGACACGGUCCAAACUCCUACGGGAGGCAGCAGUGGGGAAUAUUGCACAAUGGGGGAAACCCUGAUGCAGCAACGCCGCGUGAACGAUGAAGGCCUUUGGGUCGUAAAGUUCUGUUCUAGGUGAUGAAAACUGACAGUAACCUAGGAGAAAGCCCCGGCUAACUCCGUG